ensembl:ncRNA ZK836.17 ncRNA
CCUUUACAAUUAGGAAGCACUAUAGUAUUUGGACCUUCCAAUCCUUUUUGCUCAUUUCCCUAAUCAAGUCUUCGCCCUCCUUCUUCCUCCUCCCACCCAUUUUGUGUCCACUCGUUCUUUACUCAAACAUUUGUACAAUUCCUCC